rnacentral:ncRNA from 1 species
GGAAUCCCACCGGGUAUGGUUUAGCCAGCCGCCCGUAGCUAGUCUUGGAACCGAUAGGGUAACCUAAAGGUUUAAGUGUAGACAAGCAAGUUAGCGGGCCGAAAGCACAAGCUGAAGGAACUGAGCCCCGAAAUACCUAUAAAAUUGGGAAGGCUGAUGCUGUUGCCAGAGCAGAAAGCAACAUUCCGGCAAUCAUUAUGGCGAGAUUGACGGAACUUUCCCGGGGUCGGAGACCU